AGAGUUUGAUCCUGGCUCAGAGUGAAUGCUAUUGAUAUACAUUAUACAUGCAAGUCGAACGAAGUUUAUAAGAAAACUUAGUGGCGUACGGGUGAGUAAAGCAAGGGAAUCUGCCUUUUAGUAGAGAACAUAAAAAGAUAAAUUCUCUAUAAUACAUAAAGAUUAAUCGCUAAAAGAGGAGCCUUUGUAGGAUUAGGUAGUAGGUGUGGUAAAAGCGCACCUAGCCAAAGAUCCUUAGCUGGUCUGAGAGGAUGUACAGCCACACUGGGACUGAAACAAGGCCCAGACUUCCACGGAAGGCUGCAGUAGGGAAUUCUGGACAAUGGGCGAAAGCUUGAUCCGGUGAUAUCGGAGAAGUGAAGAAGGUUAACUCCGUAAAACUUGAUUACUAAAGAGGAUGAUGACGUUAUUUAGUAAGGAAGCCCCGGCUAAUCUUGUGCCAGCAGCCGCGGUAAUACGGGAGGGGCUAGUGUUACUCAUCAUGAUUGGGCGUAAAGAGUAUGUAGGCGGUUCGUGAAGUUGAUGAAAGUCAAAACCAGCAAACUAGAAUAUAGGAGAGGAUAGCCGUAUUCCUAGUGGAGAGGUGAAAUGUGAAGAUAUUAGGAGGACGAACAAAGGCGAAGGCAGCUAUCUGGCUUAUAAUUGACGCUGAGAUACGAAAGCACGGGUAGCGAAUAGGAUUAGAUACCCUAGUAGUCCGUGCUGUCA
rnacentral:rRNA from 1 species